ACCCGCACAAGCGGUGGAUGAUGUGGUUUAAUUCGAUGCAACGCGAAAAGCCUUACCCACCUUUGACAUGGCAGGAAUCCCGAAGAGAUUUGGGAGUGCUCGAAAGAGAACCUGCACACAGGUGCUGCAUGGCUGUCGUCAGCUCGUGUCGUGAGAUGUUGGGUUAAGUCCCGCAACGAGCGCAACCCUUGCCAUUAGUUGCUACGAAAGGGCACUCUAAUGGGACUGCCGGUGACAAACCGGAGGAAGGUGGGGAUGACGUCAAGUCCUCAUGGCCCUUAUAGGUGGGGCUACACACGUCAUACAAUGGCCGGUACAGAGGGUAGCCAACCCGCGAGGGGGAGCCAAUCCCACAAAGCCGGUCGUAGUCCGGAUCGCAGUCUGCAACUCGACUGCGUGAAGUCGGAAUCGCUAGUAAUUCGCGGAUCAGCAUGUCGCGGUGAAUACGUUCCCGGGCCUU
rnacentral:rRNA from 1 species